GAAAAGCCGCGCGCCCGCCUCGCGUUCUGAGCCCGAGCCAGAGGCGCUUCAGAGAAGGAGGGACCGACCUGCAGGAGCCGGCCGCCCCGCCGAGCUGCAGUCGCUGCCGCCACUGCUGCCGCUGUCCCUGUCUGAGCCCAUCAGAAGAGUGACACCUUCGCGAGAAACAGAAGCUGCGAAACAGUUGCACUCAGUCUUCGGAGGUGACUUAUGCCAGUGUCUCCUUGUUUCAAGAUCUCCAGUCACCAUUCAUGAGCCCAGGGCUGUGAGACAUGCUCCAUGUGCCGAGGGGAGUUCUCACCAAAUCUUCUGAGGCUGUCCUAGACUUACACUGUUCGGACUGAGUCAGCAUUACCAGCUUAUCCAAGAGAAGUACCAUCAUAUUCAUUAACAACGUCGAAAGUAGCCUACUUUAAGAGAAAAUAUGCAGAAGAAGAAGAUUUACAUCAAGAUUGCCAUGGGUAUUUUCCAAAACACCUGAUAUUACCCGAAGACAGGACUUGUAUCCUCAGGCUUUCCCUGGAGAAGCUCAGGUUUCUUGAAGACCCAGAAACCUACUUAAGAAGGUCUGUGUUAAUUAACAAUUUGCUGAGGAAGAUCCACCUAGAGACGGAGAGAGAGAGCUAUGAAUACUUUAAGGAAGCUCCCUCUUAUAAGACUGCUUAUUCGGAUACAAGAAAACGGCUGAAGUUUAUGGUACAGGAGUGCUGUUCCCAGUCUCUCUACUACGAAGAGCUGCAUUCCUACCACAUUGUGCCUUAUGCUUCGGAGAACGCCAUCUAUGGGAUGGGCUACACUGGUGACCACUUGGAGCAAAAUUCUCAGUUGCUUAUUUAUAAAAUGAAUUAAAGUAACCGUUAAGUUCACUGA